UGUAGUUAACACCUGCAUUAUUUGACGUUACCUACAGAAGAAGCACCGGCUAACUCCGUGCCAGCAGCCGCGGUAAUACGGAGGGUGCGAGCGUUAAUCGGAAUUACUGGGCGUAAAGCGCAUGCAGGCGGCCUGUUAAGUCAGAUGUGAAAGACCCGGGGCGUUAACCUCGGAAAUUGCAUUUGAAACUAGGCAGGCUAGAGUCUUGUAGAGGGGGGUAGGAAUUUCAGGUGUAGCGGUGAAAUGCGUAGAGAUCUGAAGGAAUACCAGUGGCGAAGGCGGCCCCCUCGGACAAAGACUGACGCUCAGAUGCGAAAGCGUGGGGAGCAAACAGGAUUAGAUACCCUGGUAG
rnacentral:rRNA from 1 species